rnacentral:rRNA from 1 species
UACAGAGGGUGCGAGCGUUAAUCGGAAUUACUGGGCGUAAAGCGCGCGUAGGCGGCUUUGCAAGUCGGGUGUGAAAUCCCCAGGCUUAACCUGGGAACUGCAUUCGAGACUGCAUUGCUAGAGUAUGGGAGAGGGCAGUGGAAUUCCCGGUGUAGCGGUGAAAUGCGUAGAUAUCGGGAGGAACAUCAGUGGCGAAGGCGGCUGCCUGGCCCAAUACUGACACUCAGGUG